rnacentral:lncRNA from 1 species
AUUUUUUUUUUUCAAAUUUAAUUAUUUUCAAAAGUUGACUUGUUACUCAUGAAAAUAAGAUUUCUGUGAGGUCAUUUUCAGUCACAGGAAUUCGCGAGAAUGCAGGAUUUUGCACCAUUUACUCUAGAGCUUCUGGGGGCCUUGAGCGGCCUCCAGACCCCUCGCCAUAUGACUUCUUUCCCCGGCAUUGCGUACACAUCAU